GGGCCAGUAGCUCAGCCGGUUAGAGCAGACGACUCAUAAUCGUCCACGCGUGGGUUCAAGUCCCACCUGGCCUACUA
rnacentral:tRNA from 1 species